UUGCCUCAGUAACGGCGAGUGAAGCGGCAACAGCUCAAAUUUGAAAUCUGGUCUCCUUUGGUGGCCCGAGUUGUAAUUUGUAGAGGAUGCUUCGGGUGCGGUACCGUUCUAAGUUCCUUGGAACAGGGCGUCAUAGAGGGUGAGAAUCCCGUAUGUGACCGGUCGCCAAUCCUAUGUGAAGCUCCUUCGACGAGUCGAGUUGUUUGGGAAUGCAGCUCAAAAUGGGUGGUAAAUUUCAUCUAAAGCUAAAUACCGGCCAGAGACCGAUAGCGCACAAGUAGAGUGAUCGAAAGAUGAAAAGCACUUUGGAAAGAGAGUUAAAAAGUACGUGAAAUUGUUGAAAGGGAAGCGCUUGCAACCAGACUCGUCUGGAGUUGAUCAACCGUCCUUCUGGGCGGUGCACUCUGCUCCAAUCGGGCCAGCAUCGAUUCGGGCGGUUGGAUAAAGGUUUCGGGAACGUAGCUCUCUUCGGGGAGUGUUAUAGCCCGGGGCGUCAUGCAGCCAGCCCGGAUCGAGGACCGCGCUUUUGCUAGGAUGCUGGCGUAAUGGUUGCCAGCGACCCGUCUUGAAACACGGACCAAGGAGUCGACCAACUACGCGAGUGUUAGGGUGUUAAACCCGUGCGCGUAAUGAAAGUGAACGGAGGUGAGAACCCGCAAG
rnacentral:rRNA from 1 species